rnacentral:rRNA from 1 species
AACGCGAAGAACCUUACCAGCCCUUGACAUCCACGUCGCGGAUUCCAGAGAAGUUGUCCUUCACUUCGGCUGGACCGAACACAGGUGCUGCAUGGCUGUCGUCAGCUCGUGUCGUGAGAUGUUGGGUUAAGUCCCGCAAGGAGCGCAACCCUCGCCCUUAGUUGCCAGCAUUCAGUUGGGCACUCUAAGGGGACUGCCGGGGAUAAGCCGAGAGGAAGGUGGGGAUGACGUCAAGUCCUCAUGGCCCUUACGGGGUGGGCUACACACGUGCUACAAUGGUGGUGACAGUGGGCAGCGAGCCAGCGAGGUGGAGCUAAUCUCCAAAACCCAUCUCAGUUCGGAUUGCAUUCUGCAACUCGAGUCCAUGAAGUGGGAAUCGCUAGUAAUCGCGAUCAGCAUGC